AUGGAGCAUCAAGAAGUCUAUAUAUACUUCUUCUCAUUUCUCUCCAAAUUACUAAUUCAUUUUAAGAAUAUUUCAAAGAUCAAAAAAUCAUCAUUCAUCAUUUCCACUAAAAUCAUAUUCUUAGAAUCAAGUAUCUUCCUUCCUAAGAAUAUUUGUCUUAAAAUACCAUCAUUUUUCCAAGGAAAGUUCAAGAGAGAAAACACAUUAUUUCAAGGAGAAUUCAAGAAAGAAAAUUCAUCAUAUUCUUCCAAAAUCAUAUUCUUAGAAUCAAUGAUCUCUAUUUCUAAGAGUAUUUGUCUUAAAAUCACAUCCUCUCAAUAA